AGAGGUUUAGGUUAUCUAGACCAAGGGCCUUCAAAGCCCUAAGAAGAUAUAAUUUUAUCUAACCCCUG
rnacentral:tRNA from 1 species